GGUGGCGUUACGUGCCCGAGGCCGGCACGGCGCGGGUGCGGCUCGCGGCGAUUGAGGCCAGGGCGCAGGGCCGGCUGCGGGACCGGCGGGCCACCG
rnacentral:tRNA from 1 species